GAACCUCGAUGAAGACGACGAAGAAGAAGAACAU
rnacentral:sRNA from 1 species